rnacentral:tRNA from 1 species
GCGCUGGUGGCACAGUGGUUAAGCACUCAGCUGCUAAAUGAAAGUCAGGGGUUCGAACCCACCAGUGCA